rnacentral:misc_RNA from 1 species
AAAGUCGUAACAAGGUCUCCGUUGGUGAACCAGCGGAGGGAUCAUUACAGAGUGCCCCUGGCUCUGCCCACCCCGCGAACCUUACACCGUUGCCUCGGCGGGCCCGCCCGCCAGCAGGCCCAACACACCCAGUCACCACGCGUCACUCUGACUACGUUUUCCAAUAAGUAAAAACUUUCAACAACGGAUCUCUUGGCUCCA